UCGAGCAAGGUCUGGUUGCAGACCAGUGUUCUCCACACUGGCCGGCCUCUGGACGCACCCGGGAGCUUUGUGUCCACCUGCCCAGCCUCACUCCCAUAGAUUCUGACUUAAAUGGUUUGAGGUGGUCCUGGGUAUUGGCCUUUUUAAAAGCUUCUAAAAGAUUCUGUUGAGACAGAGAAGGGGUGGUCACAGGAGCCUAAGGGGGCAAAGGUGGCUGGUGGGAACUUUCUGUCUGUGGAGGCGGCCAGGGCUAGUUGGGGCCACCGUGGCUAGUGUUUCAGAGGAGGCUGUUUCUUGUUCUGUGCUGCGUCCUCUCGCCCUCGCCAGCCUGUAGCGUAAGUGUGCUGUGCCACAGCUGUGGAAGAUGAGGUGGCGCCCAGAGAGGACCGAGGGGCUGCAGAAGACGCACCACGGCCGCAGGGGCCUACCUCCACUGGAGCGGCUCAUUCCUUCCUGCUGCCCCGCUGAGUUCUGUGCAGACUCUGUGCCUCUGUUCGGAGCUGAACUGGGUCCCCCGGAAAAGCUACGUGGACACCCUAACCCUCAGCACCUCAGAAUGUGACCUUAUUUGGAAACAGGGUCCUUACAGAGAGACAUGCACACGGGGAGAGCACCGUGUGAAGCCCGGGGUGCUGCGGCCGCCAGCGAAGACAUACCAGCCGCCAGAGGAAAGGUCUGGAACGCAUCCUCCCCAAGUGCCUCUGUGGGGAGCACGGCCCUCCGACGCCUCCAUCUCGGGCCUCUAGCCUCCGGCCCUGUGACACAAAAGCUCCUCAAAGAGAGUGCCGUGUGAGCUGAGGAAAGAGGGAUUCAGAAGAAUACACGCGGCCAAACUUCAGAGGGGCGUGAGCCCGCGGAGCAAGUGACACAUGUGAAAGCCAUCCAC